AUUGAACGCUGGCGGCAUGCUUUACACAUGCAAGUCGAACGGCAGCGCGGGGUAACCUGGCGGCGAGUGGCGAACGGGUGAGUAAUAUAUCGGAACGUACCCGAGAGUGGGGGAUAACGUAGCGAAAGUUACGCUAAUACCGCAUACGAUCUAUGGAUGAAAGUGGGGGAUCGCAAGACCUCAUGCUCCUGGAGCGGCCGAUAUCUGAUUAGCUAGUUGGUGAGGUAAAGGCUCACCAAGGCGACGAUCAGUAGCUGGUCUGAGAGGACGACCAGCCACACUGGGACUGAGACACGGUCCAGACUCCUACGGGAGGCAGCAGUGGGGAAUUUUGGACAAUGGGCGCAAGCCUGAUCCAGCAAUGCCGCGUGAGUGAAGAAGGCCUUCGGGUUGUAAAGCUCUUUUGUCAGGGAAGAAACGGUUGGGGCUAAUAUCCCCGGCUAAUGACGGUACCUGAAGAAUAAGCACCGGCUAACUACGUGCCAGCAGCCGCGGUAAUACGUAGGGUGCAAGCGUUAAUCGGAAUUACUGGGCGUAAAGCGUGCGCAGGCGGUUUUGUAAGUCUGUCGUGAAAGCCCCGGGCUCAACCUGGGAAUUGCGAUGGAGACUGCAAGGCUUGAAUCUGGCAGAGGGGGGUAGAAUUCCACGUGUAGCAGUGAAAUGCGUAGAGAUGUGGAGGAACACCGAUGGCGAAGGCAGCCCCCUGGGUCAAGAUUGACGCUCAUGCACGAAAGCGUGGGGAGCAAACAGGAUUAGAUACCCUGGUAGUCCACGCCCUAAACGAUGUCUACUAGUUGUCGGGUCUUAAUUGACUUGGUAACGCAGCUAACGCGUGAAGUAGACCGCCUGGGGAGUACGGUCGCAAGAUUAAAACUCAAAGGAAUUGACGGGGACCCGCACAAGCGGUGGAUGAUGUGGAUUAAUUCGAUGCAACGCGAAAAACCUUACCUACCCUUGACAUGUCAGGAACCUCCGAGAGAUUGGAGGGUGCUCGAAAGAGAACCUGAACACAGGUGCUGCAUGGCUGUCGUCAGCUCGUGUCGUGAGAUGUUGGGUUAAGUCCCGCAACGAGCGCAACCCUUGUCAUUAGUUGCUACGAAAGGGCACUCUAAUGAGACUGCCGGUGACAAACCGGAGGAAGGUGGGGAUGACGUCAAGUCCUCAUGGCCCUUAUGGGUAGGGCUUCACACGUCAUACAAUGGUACAUACAGAGGGCCGCCAACCCGCGAGGGGGAGCUAAUCCCAGAAAGUGUAUCGUAGUCCGGAUCGCAGUCUGCAACUCGACUGCGUGAAGUUGGAAUCGCUAGUAAUCGCGGAUCAGCAUGCCGCGGUGAAUACGUUCCCGGGUCU
rnacentral:rRNA from 1 species